ensembl:lncRNA
CUCUCUCUUUUUUUUUGCUCUGUAUUUAACCUCUCUUCAUCUUUUGUCCCUCUCUGUCCCCCUCUUUCCCUCUCUCGUUCUUCAGGCCAAACGCCUCGUCAUUUGGAGUCCCUGGUGACUCAGCACAGGUCUCUCUCCCUGGUGACUCAGGUCUCUCUCCCUGGUCUCUCUCCCUGGUCUCUCUCCCUGGUGACUCAGGUCUCUCUCCCUGGUCUCUCUCCCUGGUCUCUCUCCAGGUCUCUAGUCUUCAUGUGUCCUCUCUCUACCAGCCACUUAGUGCCGUUUGUUGUCCCUCUUUUCUCUUUUUUCUCUUUCUUUUUUUGCUUCAAAACACAGCGGUGAGCGCCGAGCGAAUGUGUGUGUGCGUUAAUCCGUAGUGUUUGU